rnacentral:rRNA from 1 species
UAAUACGGAGGGUGCAAGCGUUAUCCGGAUUCACUGGGUUUAAAGGGAGCGUAGGUGGGCUAGUAAGUCAGUGGUGAAAUCUCCGAGCUUAACUUGGAAACUGCCAUUGAUACUAUUGGUCUUGAAUAUUGUGGAGGUUAGCGGAAUAUGUCAUGUAGCGGUGAAAUGCAUAGAUAUGACAUAGAACACCAAUUGCGAAGGCAGCUGGCUACACAUAUAUUGACACUGAGGCUCGAAAGCGUGGGGAUCAAACAGGAUUAGAUACCCUGGUAGUCCACGCCCUAAACUAUGGAUACUCGACAUUUGUGAUACACAAUAAGUGUCUGAGCGAAAGCAUUAAGUAUCCCACCUGGGAAGUACGAUCGCAAGAUUGAAACUCAAAGGAAUUGACGG